CCGGUAGGCAAAUCCGCCGGGCUUAGAUGAGGGGUGAUAACGAGUCUGCUUGCAGACGAAGUGAGUGAUACCCUGCUUCCAGGAAAAGCCACUAAGCUUCAGCUACACACGACCGUACCGCAAACCGACACUGGUGCGCGAGAUGAGUAUUCUAAGGCGCUUGAGAGAACUCAGGAGAAGGAACUCGGCAAAUUGAUACCGUAACUUCGGGAGAAGGUAUGCCGCAAGUAGGUGAACUUGUACAAAGGGAGCCCAAAGCGGUUGCAAAAAAUCGGUGGCUGCGACUGUUUAAUAAAAACACAGCACUCUGCAAACACGAAAGUGGACGUAUAGGG
rnacentral:rRNA from 1 species